rnacentral:rRNA from 1 species
AUGGCUCAGGACGAACGCUGGCGGCGUGCUUCAUACAUGCAAGUCGAACGAGAAGUUACCUUCGGGUAAUGGAAAGUGGCGGACGGGUGAGUAAUAUGUAGAGAAUCUGCCCUAGAGCGGGGGACAACAGUUGGAAACGACUGCUAAUACCCCAUAUGCGCGUAGCUGAGAUGCUAUUCGUGAAAACUCCGGUGCUCUGGGAUGAGUCUGCAUCUGAUUAGCUAGUUGGCGGUGUAAUGGACCACCAAGGCGACGAUCAGUAGCUGGUUUGAGAGGAUGAUCAGCCACAAUGGGACUGAGACACGGCCCAUACUCCUACGGGAGGCAGCAGUAGGGAAUAUUGCACAAUGGGCGAAAGCCUGAUGCAGCCGACGCCGCGUGAGCGAAGAAGUAUUUCGGUAUGUAAAGCUCUAUCAGCAGGGAAGAUAAUGACGGUACCUGACUAAGAAGCACCGGCUAAAUACGUGCCAGCAGCGGC